rnacentral:rRNA from 1 species
CCUACGGGAGGCAGCAGUGAGGAAUAUUGGUCAAUGGACGAGAGUCGGAACCAGCCAAGUAGCGUGAAGGAUGACUGCCCUAUGGGUUGUAAAAUUCUUUUAUAUGGGAAUAAAAUGUUCCACGUGUGGGAGUUUGUAUGUACCAUAUGAAUAAGGAUCGGCUAACUCCGUGCCAGCAGACGCGGUAAUACGGAGGAUCCGAGCGUUAUCCGGAUUUAUUGGGUUUAAAGGGAGCGUAGGUGGAUUGUUAAGUGAGUUGUGAAAGUCUGCGGCUCAACCGUAGAAUUGCAGUUGAAACUGGCAGUCUUGAGUACAGUAGAGGUGGGCGGAAUUCCUGGUGGAGCGGUGAAAUGCUUAGAUAUCACGAAGAACUCCGAUUGCGAAGGCAGUUCACUGGACUGCAACUGACACUGAGGCUCGAAAGUGUGGGUAUCAAACAGGAUUAGAUACCCCAGUAGUC